rnacentral:rRNA from 1 species
UGGGGAAUAUUGCGCAAUGGGGGGAACCCUGACGCAGCCAUGCCGCGUGAAUGAAGAAGGCCUUAGGGUUGUAAAGUUCUUUCGGUAUUGAGGAAGGUUGACGUGUUAAUAGCACAUCAAAUUGACGUUAAAUACAGAAGAAGCACCGGCUAACUCCGUGCCAGCAGCCGCGGUAAUACGGAGGGUGCGAGCGUUAAUCGGAAUAACUGGGCGUAAAGGGCACGCAGGCGGUUAUUUAAGUGAGGUGUGAAAGCCCCGGGCUUAACCUGGGAAUUGCAUUUCAGACUGGGUAACUAGAGUACUUUAGGGAGGGGUAGAAUUCCACGUGUAGCGGUGAAAUGCGUAGAGAUGUGGAGGAAUACCGAAGGCGAAGGCAGCCCCUUGGGAAUGUACUGACGCUCAUGUGCGAAAGCGUGGGGAGCAAACAGGAUUAGAUACCCUGGUAGUCCACGCUGUAAACGCUGUCGAUUUGGGGGUUGGGGUUUAACUCUGGCGCCCGUAGCUAACGUGAUAAAUCGACCGCCUGGGGAGUACGGCCGCAAGGUUA